AUGGAGUUGACAUGAACAGUUGGCUUUGUUGGAACUAUUUGGCCAUUUCAGUUAAGAAACAGAUUCAAAGGGUUAAGAAAUAAGGUUGAGCUAAAUGCUAAUACUGUUAAGGUACAAUGAAUGAAUUACAGGGCUAGCUUGCUGUAAGAUAGGCCUAAAAAUGGUUAUAUUUGUUGAGACAUUUAUGAGCUAAAGAUGAAAACUCUUAUUCCAUAAAUGGAUAGGCUAAGGGCAAAAUUAGAGCAGCUGCUGAGAUAUACGAAUUGAUACGACUUCACCGCCUUUCCCGGCCCUCAUUGCAUGUACUGCUACUAUUUCAGAGAGUAAAAAAUGGGAAUGGUACCUUCAUUCUCUUGCAAAUUAGUGUUUACUGCAACCGCAUGAAGAGUUAUCUUAGUUUUUGGUUGCCGGUCCAUUCG